rnacentral:rRNA from 1 species
UUGCACGCUGGCGGCAGGCCUAACACCUGCCAGUCGAGCGGAUGAGGGGAGCUUGCUCCUGGAUUCAGCGGCGGACGGGUGAGUAAUGCCUAGGAAUCUGCCUGGUAGUGGGGGAUAACGUCCGGAAACGGGCGCUAAUACCGCAUACGUCCUGAGGGAGAAAGUGGGGGAUCUUCGGACCUCACGCUAUCAGAUGAGCCUAGGUCGGAUUAGCUAGUUGGUGGGGUAAAGGCCUACCAAGGCGACGAUCCGUAACUGGUCUGAGAGGAUGAUCAGUCACACUGGAACUGAGACACGGUCCAGACUCCUACGGGAGGCAGCAGUGGGGAAUAUUGGACAAUGGGCGAAAGCCUGAUCCAGCCAUGCCGCGUGUGUGAAGAAGGUCUUCGGAUUGUAAAGCACUUUAAGUUGGGAGGAAGGGCAGUAAGUUAAUACCUUGCUGUUUUGACGUUACCAACAGAAUAAGCACCGGCUAACUUCGUG